rnacentral:rRNA from 1 species
AGUUUGAUCCUGGCUCAGGAUGAACGCUAGCUACAGGCUUAACACAUGCAAGUCGAGGGGAAACGAUAGAGAAAGCUUGCUUUUUCUAGGCGUCGACCGGCGCACGGGUGAGUAACGCGUAUCCAACCUGCCCAUCACUUGGGGAUAACCUUGCGAAAGUAAGACUAAUACCCAAUGACGUCUCUAGAAGACAUCUGAAAGAGAUUAAAGAUUUAUCGGUGAUGGAUGGGGAUGCGUCUGAUUAGCUUGUUGGCGGGGUAACGGCCCACCAAGGCUACGAUCAGUAGGGGUUCUGAGAGGAAGGUCCCCCACAUUGGAACUGAGACACGGUCCAAACUCCUACGGGAGGCAGCAGUGAGGAAUAUUGGUCAAUGGGCGAGAGCCUGAACCAGCCAAGUAGCGUGCAGGAUGACGGCCCUAUGGGUUGUAAACUGCUUUUAUAAGGGAAUAAAGUGAGCCUCGUGAGGCUUUUUGCAUGUACCUUAUGAAUAAGGACCGGCUAAUUCCGUGCCAGCAGCCGCGGUAAUACGGAAGGUCCGGGCGUUAUCCGGAUUUAUUGGGUUUAAAGGGAGCGUAGGCCGGAGAUUAAGCGUGUUGUGAAAUGUAGAUGCUCAACAUCUGCACUGCAGCGCGAACUGGUUUCCUUGAGUACGCACAAAGUGGGCGGAAUUCGUGGUGUAGCGGUGAAAUGCUUAGAUAUCACGAAGAACUCCGAUUGCGAAGGCAGCUCACUGGAGCGCAACUGACGCUGAAGCUCGAAAGUGCGGGUAUCGAACAGGAUUAGAUACCCUGGUAGUCCGCACGGUAAACGAUGGAUGCCCGCUGUUGGUCUGAAUAGGUCAGCGGCCAAGCGAAAGCAUUAAGCAUCCCACCUGGGGAGUACGCCGACAACGGUGAAACUCAAAUGAAUUGACGGAAGG